UGGUGGCUACGGAAGCAGCCGCGUCCGUUCUGACCACCCAGCAAGCCUGUUGGAACCGAGGGGCGUCCCUUCUCUUUAUGUGUAGUCUCGCUCACACUCACAGCUAACACUUGGCGUGUCAGCCCAGCACGGCAGGGAUUUGGAUGUCUUGUCUAUUACAACCGUAGUACACGAGAAUGGAUACGGAAGGCUACCAGAGCAGGCUUGUUCUACCCAGAAGCAAUCAUGGGCACAAUGAGGGCUUCUGGGCCAAAAUGAACGUGUGUUUGGGAUGAUGACUCGUUGGCGGUCCAUUUUCGCGGAGUUCCCCUGAAGUGAGUCCCACAUAUGAUGUGGAGGUUGCUGCGUGUUGUGUCCAUUGACAGUGACAGUGGAGAAGCUUUGCUGAAAAAGCGUCAGCCGACACGUAAAUGGACACACUGUCAGGAGCUUUCUCAUGUCCAGAGGUUGCGCUACCUGUGGAGCACGAUUAUAUGUAAUUAUACAAGUGCCAUUGUAGUACAGCCUGCCCUUUUUUUUAGGGUCCUAUAUCCCGAUUAUUUUUCUUGUAAAUAGACUGUGUGUAGUAAAGUAUGUUUUUGUGCAGUAUUCAAUCAAUACGUUUGAUGGUUAUAGUUCAUUAAUUAUUAACCUAUAUAGGAAAGUUACCGAGAAAGUUAAAAAUAAAUCAAAAGAGCAGCAGCCUGCUCUAUUGGAAUAUCAUACAGGUAGUCAAGCCUCGGUCUGCCUUAUAAAAAUGGCUGACACUCUUUCGACUCGCAGUGGAUAAUGUCAUUUUUUAGGAUAGUUUGG
ensembl:lncRNA